UACGAAGGGGGCUAGCGUUGCUCGGAAUCACUGGGCGUUAAGCGCACGUAGGCGGCUUUCUAAGUCAGGGGUGAAAUCCUGGAGCUCAACUCCAGAACUGCCUUUGAUACUGGGAAGCUUGAGUCCGGGAGAGGUGAGUGGAACUGCGAGUGUAGAGGUGAAAUUCGUAGAUAUUCGCAAGAACACCAGUGGCGAAGGCGGCUCACUGGCCCGGUACUGACGCUGAGGUGCGAAAGCGUGGGGAGCAAACAGG
rnacentral:rRNA from 1 species